AGGGUUUUUGGUUGCUGGCGAAGCUUCUUAUUGGUUGCGCGGAUGUGAUGUUUAUCUGUUUGCAUAUUGGAAAUGGAGAUUGAUCGAUGAUUGUGUACUGUUUUGUUAAUGUCUUAUUCCCCCCCUAAUAAAUGUUGACCAAUUCCAACUUAAUUUUUCAGCAGAUGGAUUUUUUCUUUCAAAGCUGAGAUUUGGGAUGUGAUUGUAAGGAUGUAGAAAGGUUUCAGGAAUUUAUUUGUUCAAGUAAAAAGUUAAACUUUCUGAAUUGUCGGUG
rnacentral:lncRNA from 1 species